rnacentral:lncRNA from 1 species
UCUGUCCACAAAGGAAUGGCUAAAUUAUAGCCCAGCACAUCCCUCUGGCAGUGUAGCUGAGCUCAGGAAAGGUAUGUUCUGUGCAUUAGCAUCUGGGGGAGCAAGAGGGGUCAGGAGAAUAGGAAGGAAGAACCCUUCACCAAACCAGGUCACAAGGCCCAGCCUGGGCUGAUGUGUGUGUCACACUCUUGGAAAGGUCACCUCCUCACCACCAUCCCAGUCUCCACCAGGAUUGUACAGCAGUGUCUAUUAAUGACAGAACCAUUCUUCAAUGUCAUUUACCCAAAACAUAUCAUUUAGCAUUAAUCUAUUCAUAGAAUGUUUCUGAAAUAUUUUUAAGCUAGUUUUAGGGGCCGGGUGAGGUGACUCAUGCCUGUAAUCCUAGCACUUUGGGAGGCCAAGGAGGGUGGAUUGCCUGAGUUCAGGAGUUUGAGACCAGCCUGAGCAACACGGUGAAACCCCGUCUCUACUAAUAUACAAAAAAGAAAUUAGCUGGGUAUGGCGGCAUGUGCCUGUAGUCCCAGCUACUUGGGAGUCUGAGGCGGGAGAAUUGCUUGAACCCGGGAGAUGGAGGUUGCAAUGAGCCAAGAAUGCACCACUGCACUCCAGCCUGAGCAACAGAGCAAGACUCCAUCUCCAAAAAUAAAAAUAAAAAUAAACUGGUUUGGGGGCUGCAAAAUACUAUCUCAUAGUAGUUAAAGCAGCCACGUAAGACUCUGGGUCUUCGCCAGAGCCACAGGGACUCUGUGGAAAGGAAAGCCCCCUUUCCUUCCUUAGACCUUCCAUGCUUACCUCCACCUCCAUAUUUCUCCUCUUUCUCCAACAGGAACAAGCUCAGCUGGGAGUGAGCAAUGAAAGGCAGGUCCAGCCCUUUCACCAUGGCUGCAGUUGGAAGCAAACAAGUGAAUUUGACACAAGAAACCGAAGAAGAAAGAACUAAUCUAGUCAAGAUCUCAAGCGAGAAGAGCUACUCUGAAAGAAGAUACUGCUCGUCAGAAGGACAUGUGAAACUCUGUUAUUUGUAUAUUCUGGUUAACAUAAAAAGCCCUGACAAACAAGAGGGAAAAAAAAUGGC